AGAGUUUGAUCCUGGCUCAGGAUCAACGCUGGCGGCGUGCCUAACGCAUGUAAGUCGAACGCACACCUUUCGAGGUGUGAGUGGCGAACGGCUGAGGAACACGUACGAACCUGCCUGUUUGUGGGGAAUAACGCGCCGAAAGGCGUGCUAAUACCGCGUACGCUCAUUCGAAAGAAUGAGGAAAGCCGUAAGGCGCAGACAGCGGGGCGUGCGGCCCAUCAGGUUGUUGGUGGGGUAAUGGCCUACCAAGCCGGUGACGGGUAGCUGGUCUGUGAGGACGAUCAGCCAGACUGGGACUGCGACACGGCCCAGACACCUACGGGUGGCAGCAGCGAGGAAUCUUCCACAAUGGGCGAAAGCCCGAUGGAGCAACGCCGCGUGGAGGACGACGGCCUUCGGGUUGUAAACUCCUUUCGGGAGGGAUGAUACGGACAGUACCUCCAAAAGAAGCCCCGGCUAACUCUGUGCCAGCAGCCGCGGUAAUACAGGGGGGGCAAGCGUUGUCCGGAAUUACUGGGCGUACAGCGCGCGCAGGCGGUCCACUACGUGCCGUGUGACAGACGUCGGCUUAACCGACGUAGGCCAGGGUACACGGGUGAACUUGAGGCAGAGAGAGGGAUGUGGAAUACCCGGUGGAGCGGUGAAAUGCGUAGAGAUCGGGUGGAACACCAGGGGCGAAGGCGGCAUCCUGGCUCUGGUCCUGACGCUGAGGCGCGAGAGCGUGGGGAGCAAACCGGAUUAGAUACCCCUGUAGUCC
rnacentral:rRNA from 1 species